GGACCUUUGAGUUCAAGGCCAGCUUGGUCUACAUACCAAGUUCCAGGACAGCAGAGGCUACACAGAAAAACCCUGUCCAAAAAAAAAAAAAAAAAAAAUGAUAAGAAAAAAGUAAAAGUUGAAAAGGUACUUCCAUAGGGAAUAAAUUCUAUUUUAUUUAGGCUUGUCCAAGUUGAAGCACUUGCCAUACCUAUAAGCAAAGGCCUAAAAUUUGAUGUUUUUAGAGAUCAUUUGGAAAACAUAGAACGCAUGUCUAAUUUUUUUUUCUGAAUUUCUGUGCAUCGGCUUCCUAACAAUAGUCUAAUAAAAACCUCUGUCGUAAGGACCAGCGAGAUGGCUUGCUGCCAAGGCUGAGUUUAAUCCCGGAGCCCACUUGGUAGAAGUUGAGAGGCCUGACCCCUCCAAGUCAUCCUCUGAGCUCCACACGUGUAUCAUACAUGUACCACCACACUCAGAUGCCCGCCCACCCACACGUGCACAAAUAACAAUACAGGUCUUAAAAUUCAGAAAAAUUAGUCCAUUCCAUACUUUGCAUUCCUGUAGCUUAUCUGCUCAUUCGUUUGGGCAAGUCACCUCGGGCUCAUUUGCACUGAUAAUUCCUCAGUCAUUCUUGUAGCUCAUGACUGCAGAAUCGCAAAGCGUCAACUAGCAGUAUAGCCAGUGAGCACAUGAACAGCUUCUCUGCUUUGGCUCACAUGUCCGUGUUUUGAUUUAUUGGAACAGUUACUGGAAAGGAUUCUAGAGCCCAUGAGUAGUAUCCAUAAUAGUAACAGUUCUUUUUCUCCAGUUUUUAAAAUAUUCCCUCUUCAACAGCUGGAGAUGUGAUCAGCAGAUCCGUAAGUUUAUUCAUGCAUUUAGCUGAUCCUUGAAGAGUUAGUUUGUGCUGGAACACUACAUUGUUAGAAUUAGAACAUUACUGAACAGUUCUGAAUGAUGACUAGCUUUGACCCAGUGAGACUGAGGUAUUUUGUUUGCUUUGUGGUAGCGUCGUUUUCCCUUGUAUUAAAAGCCCACAGGGACUGGGGUGUAGCUCAGUGAUAGUGCAGGCCCUCAGAGUAUGUGUGGAGCCCUGAGUUCACUUCAGAGCGUGCAAAAUACAAACAGGCAGCUCUCGUUCAUUUCACCUGAACACUGAGAAUGACAUGUGAUACGUCACGUGCUUUCCUUAGUUCCCUGGGGUUGUGAUAGUGUGUGGAAAGUGAUCUCUAGAAUAGAGAAAAAACAUCUAUGCUUCAUCUAUGCUUUCCUCCCGGGACAGAGCCCUUCCUGGGAACUUAACUAGAAAUAACUCUAUUAGCACAAAUCAGAUGAUGAGUCAUUACCACACCUUAACUCCGGAGCCUGAGGGCUGUGAGGGACGCGGCCCCCACCACACAGGAAUGAGCUCCUCCCUACACUGGGACGUUCAGUGUGCUACAACAUUGAAUUUUAAUUGUCUGUUUCUCUAAUUCCCGCCUACCCUUUAGUAUAGAAGUUGUGUGUUAACUUAAGUUUGUGUCUAGCACCUAGUACAUUAACUUAUAUAUGGUAAAUACUUGAUAAAUCUUUACUGAGUGGAUUAAUAGGCUUAAUAUUAAAAGUGAAAAAAAGAGAGUUCAGCAGUGGUGGCGCCACACCUUUAAUCCUAGCACUGGGGAGGAAGAGGCAGGUGAAUGUAUGGGUUCAAGGCCAGACUGGUCUACAGGGUUUGUUCAUUCCGGGACAGCCAGGGCUACUAAGAUUAAUCUUGUCUCAAAAAACAGACAGACAAAUAUUAUUUAAGAGUACAGUUAAAGCUGCCUACUUAAUCCUCAUAUUUGAUCAUAGAGGCACAUGGAUGUACCAAGAUGAGAACAUUGCAUAGC
rnacentral:lncRNA from 1 species